rnacentral:rRNA from 1 species
CCCGCUGAACUUAAGCAUAUCAAUAAGCGGAGGAAAAGAAACUAACAAGGAUUCCCUUAGUAACUGCGAGUGAAGUGGGAAAAGCUCAAAUUUAAAAUCUGGCAGUCUGAAUUUACUUCUUUGGCUGUCCGAGUUGUAAUCUAGAGAAGUGCUACCUGUACUGGACCAUGUACAAGUCUCCUGGGAUGGAGCAUCACAGAGGGUGAGAAUCCCGUCUAUGACAUGGACUACCAGUGUGUUGUGGAGUACUUUCAAAGAGUCGAGUUGUUUAGGAAUGCAGCUCUAAAUGGGUGGUAAACUCCAUCUAAAGCUAAAUAUUGGCGAGAGACCGAUAGUGAACAAGUACCGUGAGGGAAAGAUGAAAAGGACUUUGGAAAGAGAGUUAAACAGUACGUGAAAUUGUUGAAAGGGAAACACUUGAUGUCAGUUGUGUUAGCUGGGGAUCAGCCUAGCUUUUUUGCUUGGUGAAUUUCCUGGUUUGACAGGCCAACAUCAGUUUCGACUGCUGGAGAAAGGCAGACGGAAUGUGGCACCUUUGGGUGUGUUAUAGCUUUCUGUCAGAUGUAGCAGUUGGGACUGAGGUAUGCAGUGCGCAGUAAGGCAGGGUUUCGACCACACUCGCACUUAGGAUGUUGGUUUAAUGGCAUCAAUUGACCCGUCUUGAAACACGG